AGCUCCAAUAGCGUAUAUUAAAGUUGUUGCGGUUAAAAAGCUCGUAGUUGGUUCUGUGUGCCACGCUGUCGGUUCACCGCCUGCCGGUGCAACUGACAUGCCGUGGGAUGUCUUGCCGGAGGGGGCCGAAACCCUUCAGCGGCUUCCCGUUGUUGGGCUCAGGUCCUCGCAAUGCUGCCACGGUGCUCUUCACCGAGUGUCGGGGCAGGCCGACAUGAUUAGUUGUGCAUGGAAUAAUGGAAUAUGACCUUGUUUCUGUUUUGUUGGCUUUCGGAAUUCACGGUAAUGAUCAAUGUGGACAGGCGGGGGCAUUCGUAUUGCGACGUUAGAGGUGAAAUUCUUGGAUCGUCGCAAGACGAACUAGAGCGAAAGCAUUUGCCAAGUAUGUCUUAG
rnacentral:rRNA from 1 species